UUUAAUUUAUUUAGUUAAAUUAAAUAUAUUUAUUAUUAUUUAAUUAAUUAAAAUAAAUUAAAAUUAGAUUUGUUUAUUUUAAUUAAGAAUUAUAAUAAUAAAUAAAAUUAAAUAAAAAAAAAGGUAACUCCCCAUGUUUGGGAGUUAUGUUUUUUUAUGGGGAGAGGGAGUCUUCUCCCUAGUCUUCUCUCUCUCCCUCUGACUCUCACGAUCAUUGUGUGGUUUUAAUGAAAAAAGAAAAAAAAAAUCUCUCCUCGAUAGAUAGUUCUCUAUGAAUUUUUCUCUUUUUUCUCCUAAACCAAGAAGAGGGGAUCCCAUUAUCCCGCCUCAGAAAACUCAAUAGAGGAUACUGGUGAAGGAUUUUUGGGAGUGUCGUUUAUUUCCAACAGAGAUUUUUCAACAAGGUAUGAAUUCUUUUUAUUUUCUUUUAAUGUAUAUGUUUAGCCUAGGUUUAUUUUUCAAUGCUAUCUCUGUUUGAUAUUAAAUUAAAGUUAGAUAUAAUUUUUUCGCACCCUACAAUAGUAUCAGAGCCAGGUUUGUUUUAAUAUCAAUUUUAUUUUUGCAUUGGUCAUAGGUGGGAUUAAAUGCAUUAUGAUUGUUUUUGGUUUGCUGUGAACUGUUUGGAUUUAAAUUGGCCAUAGAUUUACAUUUAUUAUGUGAUUUGAUCAUGUAAGGGCCCAUGCGUUUUGGGCAUUUUAAUGUAAAUCGAGUCUGUAAGUCCGUGUCUACAAUCAGGUUGAAGAACGAUGAAGAUUGAAAUCAAUUUUGACCAAAAACAUAGGAAUACAGUGGCUGCAAUUAGAGAAAAAAUUGGAAUAGGAAAAUGGCGGCUGCAAAGUGGAAAGGCUGACAUCAUUGUGAAAUCAACCUCAACGAUUCACGCGGUCCAGUUCAAGGUUCACCCGGUUCGAAAUUCUUCUAGUUUGGUUGUUGACUUCAAUGUCACGGAUGACGUAAGCGUGACGUCAGGAGGCGCGGUUUGAGGUUUGACCAAUUUUCGGCAGUCCGAUUUUGACCGUUUUUUGGCAUUUUUGACCUUUUUGUGGUUUUUGGCCUACAUUUUUUUAGCCCUGUUCAAGCGGUUUUGGCCCCUUUUUGAAAGCUUUGUUCAGGGUUCGAGCUCUUCUGGUCCGGUUUGGGUGCGGUUGAAGACUACUUAGGAUAAAAUUAGUAAAAUUAAUGUAAUUUUUUGCUUUAAUUUUAUCAUAUGGGCCAAUUAACCGGUUCAUUAGCUAUUUAAAUGCUUUAUGGGUGUCAUUUAGACAUAAUCCCACCUUAGGUUAAACAUAUUCAUGCAUUUUUAUAUUUAAAUGUUAUAAUAUAUAGUUUAUGCAUGAUAGGUUAAUUUCUUUACUAAUAUAAUUGUUAUAUAUAUAUAUAUAUUUGAAAUUAACAAAGCAUUAAGCAUAUAAUUACUUAGAUAAAUAUAAAGAGUUAUAUUUAUUAUAAAGUUUUGAGCAUACUUAAUUGAUUUUCAUGUUUGCAUUUAUAUAAAGUGUUAUAUUUUUUUUAUAUGAAAAUCAAUAUGCAUUAAGCAUGUCACAUCCAUACUAUUAAUGCAAUUGUUAUAUUAAAUUAUGCAAUGCAUGUUAUAUGGUUUGUUUAUUAAUUAAAACCAUAUAACAGCAUGAUUAUAGGGCUAAUCAUUAAAAAUUAUUUUUUUCCCUCAACUUAAUGAUUAGAAACCAUCAAUCUAUAAUUAAGAAUUGCAUACAAACAUAGGAUCAUAAGGUUAAUAAAUUAAUUUUAAAAUGGCUAAAAUUAACUAGACAUAGGAUUAGAAUUUUUUCUCUUAGUUUUUAAAAAUAAUUUUAAUGAACUAAGUAGGAAAAACAUUACUAUGAUUAUAAGGGAACUCUACUGGUGAAGUUAUGUCUAAGGCUGGGGUUUUUAAGUUAACAGUUAAUGGAACACCUCUUACCUGGGAACUGACCUGGAACUUGAAUUGAAUUAAUCAUAGUUUGAUGUUAGCAUGCAUUGUCACUAGGUUGAUUAAAGGAGUUUAAUUCACUUAGAACAUAGAUUUUUUUUUUAUAUAUAUAUAUAAGUGUUAUAAUAAGAAUAAACUUAGAAAGAUUACUUAGCUAGAUUUAUCUAAGUUAAAUAAACCAUAAAAAAUACGGUAGGACACUUUAGUGGGAGAAAAAUUACAAAAUGAGAUAUUUAAAAUCACGUUUUGCUCCUACGUCCCUAUAUUCACAAAGUGAGAUCCAUACUCAGCUUUUUGUCGCCUUAGGCACGGCCUCUCCUCGGAAAGUGUUUGUAUGGGUCGAUAACAAGGUGAAUGGGGAAAGUGUCUAUAGUAAGUGGGAGUGGGACAUGUGUCAACGUAUCCCUCAGUUUCCGCCCCUCGGUCACAUCAUGAGAUGUCUAUGAUCUGCCUACAUGUCACCCUGGAGUAGCCAUCCCUUUGGAGGGUCUGAUCAUAGGAUUCGUAAUACCAUGAACUCUUGGAAAGGAUAGGGUUUCUCAGGUUAAUUACCAACAAUUGUCUUUCCUAAUGAUAACCUGUUGGUACGUACCUUUGAGAUCUAAAAGUGGGAGGGUUACACUUACGGGGAUGAGUUAAAUGUGUUAAUAAACCCUUGACCGAACAACGGUGGCUAAAGUCUAUAGGAAUAUGAGUUAUUCUGGUAUUAGAUUUAGCUGAGAAUUGUCUCAUUUCAGAGGAUGAGUAGUUGAUCACCCUUCGGUGGCGGUUACACUAAACUUCUAAAGCAUCAUUGCAAAACUAAAUCAAUAGUUUCUUAGGGUUCUUUGAUUACUUGUUUUGGGAUUUUAUGCAUUUAUUUGCUUGUGUGAUGGGUUAAGGCAAAGAUAACUAAUAUGGUCAUUGUUUUUUUUCAAUAAUGUUUUCCUCUAUAAUAGCACUACUUAAAAAUGAAAAAUUAACCGGUAAAAAUUAUUCUAUGUGGAAGUCCAAGUUGAAUACAAUUCUUGUUGUAGACAAUCUGUGGUUUAUCUUAACAGAGGAAUGUCCUCCGGCCCUUACUCGUAAUGCAUCCCAAGCGAUAAAGGAUGCUUAUGAUCGCUGGACAAAGGCAAAUGAAAAGGUAUGAGUUUAUAUCUUGGCCAACAUGAGGUUAUGGACACGGCGAGAGAGAUUAUGGAAUCUCUCCAAGAUAUGUUUAGACAGCCGUUCUACUAAUGCCACCAUGAUGCCUUCAAGUACAUUUACAUUUGUCGCAUGAAAGAGGGCAUAUCUGUUCGGGAACAUGUCCUGGACAUGAUGGUCCAAUUUAAGAAUUGCAGAGGAAAAUGGAGCGGUUAUAGACGAGUGUAGUCAAGUUUCGUUCAUCCUGGAAUCUCUUUCGAAGAGUUUUCUUCAAUUUCGUAGUAAUGCGAUGAUGAACAAAAUUCAAUUCGACCUGACUAGUCUCCUGAAUGAGCUACAACUUUUUCAAUCUUUUCUGGAAAACAAGGGACAAAUAGAAGGAGAGGCAGAUGUUACCCAUUCCAAAAGAAAGUUCCACAAGGGUUCAUCCUCUGUGACUAAAGUUGUAUCUCAAUCUUUUGCUUCUAAGAAGAUUAAGAACAAGAAAGGAAACAAGGGGAAGGCUCUUGCUACUAUUCACAAAGGCAAGGGAAAGGCCAAGGUUGCUGACAAGAGCAUUUUUUUUCACUGCAACGUGGAUGGACACUGGAAAAAAAAACUGCCCUAAGUACCUCGCUAAAAAGAAGAAGGAAAAGAAAGGGAAAUAACUCCUUUCAGCAGCUGGAAGAGGGUGAGAUGACGCUCAGGGUCAGAACGGGAGACGUCGUUUCAGCUCGUGCAGUGGGAGAUGAAAAAUUAUUUUAUGGAAAUAAAUUUCUUUUAUUAGAAAAUCUAUUGGCAAUUUCCCAAGAUAAGAAAGAACUUAGUAUCUUAGUAUCUAUUUCCCAAGAUAAGAAAGAAUUUUUCAAUAAAUGAAGCGUUCAUUUCGAAAAA